UGUGCUGACGUUGCUUCCAGAGGCAGUUUGGAACUCUGUGAAAGCCCAAAAGGGACAGAACCAGGAAAACCAAGGAGGACCAGGUGAGCCGACCGCUCCCAAGAAGAAGAAAGGAUUCCUGCCCGAGACCAA